CCUACGGUGGGCUGCAGUGGGGAAUAUUGGGCAAUGGACGCAAGUCUGACCCAGCAACGCCGCGUGAAGGAAGAAGGCUUUCGGGUUGUAAACUUCUUUUCAGGGGGAAGGGCAGAAGACGGUACCCAUUGAAUAAGCCACGGCUAACUACGUGCCAGCAGCCGCGGUAAUACGUAGGUGGCAAGCGUUUUCCGGAUUUACUGGGUGUAAAGGGCGUGCAGCCGGGUAGACAAGUCAGAGGUGAAAUCCAAGGGCUCAACCCGUGAACUGCAUUUGAAACUGUUUCCCUUGAGUGUCGGAGAGGUAAUCGGAAUUCCUAGUGUAGCGGUGAAAUGCGUAGAUAUUAGGAAGAACACCAGUGGCGAAGGCGGAUUACUGGACGAUAACUGACGGUGAGGCGCGAAAGCGUGGGGAGCAAACAGGAUUAGAUACCCCUGUAGUC
rnacentral:rRNA from 1 species